AGUGGUGUGGCCCGGACGGGUCUGUUGUUCUGAUCCGAGCGGUGCGAAGCGGACUGGACAGAGUGGUCUUGGAGCUGCUGCGAGCAGGAGUGCCCGGUCAACAACACUGACCAUACUGGGAGAUCAGCCCUGCACUGGGCAUGCUCAGUAAACCACCUCUCCCUAACAAGGACCCUCAUUCGCUAUGGGGCUGCUGUGGACCUGCAAGACAACAAAGGCGAGACGCCGCUCUUCCUUGCCGCCCC